rnacentral:rRNA from 1 species
GAUGAACGCUGGCGGCGUGCCUAAUACAUGCAAGUCGAGCGAACGGACGAGAAGCUUGCUUCUCUGAUGUUAGCGGCGGACGGGUGAGUAACACGUGGAUAACCUACCUAUAAGACUGGGAUAACUUCGGGAAACCGGAGCUAAUACCGGAUGAUAUUUUGAACCGCAGGGUUCAAAAGUGAAAGACGGUCUUGCUGUCACUUAUAGAUGGAUCCGCGCUGCAUUAGCUAGUUGGUAAGGUAACGGCUUGCCAAGGCAACGAUGCAUAGCCGACCUGAGAGGGUGAUCGGCCACACUGGAACUGAGACACGGUCCAGACUCCUACGGGAGGCAGCAGUAGGGAAUCUUCCGCAAUGGGCGAAAGCCUGACGGAGCAACGCCGCGUGAGUGAUGAAGGUCUUCGGAUCGUAAAACUCUGUUAUUAGGGAAGAACAUAUGUGUAAGUAACUGUGCACAUCUUGACGGUACCUAAUCAGAAAGCCACGGCUAACUACGUG